AAGACUAUAGACCUGCGGAGUACCUGCGGAAGGAUCAUUACCGAGUUUACCAACUCCCAAACCCCAUGUGAACCUACCGUCUCCCGUUGCUUCGGCGGUGCCGCCCCGGGCGCGGGCCUCCCAGAGGCCGCCAGCCCCGGAACCAGGCGCCCGCCGGAGGACCCCCAAACCUCCUGCAUCACAACAGUGGCUUCUUUCUGAGUAGCGCUCUCGCGAGCGGAUAAGCAAAAUGAAUCAAAA
rnacentral:misc_RNA from 1 species